rnacentral:rRNA from 1 species
GACGAACGCUGGCGGCGUGCUUAACACAUGCAAGUCGAACGGAAAGGCCCCUUUGGGGGUACUCGAGUGGCGAACGUGUGAGUAACACGUGAGUAACCUGCCCUUGACUUCGGGAUAACUUCAGGAAACUGGGGCUAAUACCGGAUAGGAAUCCUUGCUGCAUGGUGGGGGUUGGAAAGCUUCGGCGGUUUUGGAUGGACUCGCGGCUUAUCAGCUUGUUGGUGGGGUAGUGGCUUACCAAGGCUUUGACGGGUAGCCGGCCUGAGAGGGCGACCGGCCACAUUGGGACUGAGAUACGGCCCAGACUCCUACGGGAGGCAGCAGUGGGGAAUAUUGCACAAUGGGCGGAAGCCUGAUGCAGCAACGCCGCGUGCGGGAUGACGGCCUUCGGGUUGUAAACCGCUUUCAGCAGGGGCGAAGCUUGUGGUGACGGUACCUGCAGAAGAAGCACCGGCUAACUACGUG